AAAUUGAAGAGUUUGAUCAUGGCUCAGAUUGAACGCUGGCGGCAGGCCUAACACAUGCAAGUCGAACGGUAACAGGAAGCAGCUUGCUGCUUCGCUGACGAGUGGCGGACGGGUGAGUAAUGUCUGGGAAACUGCCUGAUGGAGGGGGAUAACUACUGGAAACGGUGGCUAAUACCGCAUAACGUCGCAAGACCAAAGAGGGGGACCUUCGGGCCUCUUGCCAUCAGAUGUGCCCAGAUGGGAUUAGCUGGUAGGUGGGGUAACGGCUCACCUAGGCGACGAUCCCUAGCUGGUCUGAGAGGAUGACCAGCCACACUGGAACUGAGACACGGUCCAGACUCCUACGGGAGGCAGCAGUGGGGAAUAUUGCACAAUGGGCGCAAGCCUGAUGCAGCCAUGCCGCGUGUAUGAAGAAGGCCUUCGGGUUGUAAAGUACUUUCAGCGGGGAGGAAGGUG
rnacentral:rRNA from 1 species